rnacentral:tRNA from 1 species
GGAAGUGUAGUUCAGUGGUAGAGCAUUUGCCUAGCAUAAGAUAAGGCCCUGGGUUUGCUCCCCAGCACUGCCA